rnacentral:rRNA from 1 species
GCUAACUAUCAAGCCUAUAAUUACCAAAUAAUCUUCUUCAACUGCCGUAAGAUAAAACAUUUUAUUGUUUAAGUAAGUGCGAUUGAAAAACCUCUAAGAGCUUCAACUUCAGUACCGCAAGGGAAAGAUGAAAUAUAAAUGAAAUAAAAUAAAGCACAAUACAGUAGAGAUUAAGCCUCGUACCUUUUGCAUCAUGAUCUAGCAAGUCAUUAUCAAGCAUAAAGACACUCAAGUUUGAUUCCCCGAAACUAGGCGAGCUACUUCAAAAUAGCAUUUAGAGCCAACCCGUCUCUGUAGCAAAAGAGUGGGAAAAUUUUCAAGUAGAAGUGAUAAGCCUAUCGAGCCUAGAAAUAGCUGGUUAUUCAGGAAAAGAAUCUUAGUUCUACCUUAAGUUUAAACAUGAAUAUGAGCACAGUUUACUUAAGAGUUAUUCAAAUAAGGCACAGCUUAUUUGAAAAAGGCUACAACCUAAACCUUAGGGUAAGAUUGACCUAAACUUAAUAAAGUAGGCCUAAAAGCAGCCAUCUUUUAAAAAGCGUUAAAGCUUUGUUUUUGAUUUUAUAAAUUCCACUUAUUUUUACCAACCCACCAUCAGUACUGAAUAAAUUCAUAAAUUAUGAAAGUUACCAUGCUAGAACUAGUAACAAGAAAAUGAUUUUCUCCAAAGUGCAAGUAUAAGCCAAAAAGGACAGCCCAUUGGUGAUUAACGGACCUGAACUAACUAUAAUAAAACACCUAGAAAACCCUAUACUUAAUACCGUUAACCUUACACAAGCGCCCUCCUGGAAAGAUUAAAAGGAAAAGAAGGAACUCGGCAAACUCUAACCCCGCCUGUUUACCAAAAACAUCGCCUCUUGCUUAAAUAUAAGAGGUCCAGCCUGCCCAGUGUUUCAAUCAACGGCCGCGUGAUUUAAGCGCGCGAAGGUAGCAUAAUAAUUUGUUCUCUAAAUAAGGACUUGUAUCAAUGGCAUCACGAGGGUUAUACUGUCUCCUUUCCCCAAUCAGUGAAACUAAUCUCCCUGUGAAAAAGCAGGGAUAUAGCUAUAAGACGAGAAGACCCCAUGGAGCUUAAAACACGGCAACAACCCUAAUAUUAUUACCAGAAUAAUUUUAAGCUAUGUAUGCUAGUUUUGGGUUGGGGUGACCACGGAGCAAAAUGAAGCCUCCACAACGAGAAGGGGAUACCUCCUUAUUUAAGAAACACUGUUCUAAAAAUUAUUAAAAUAACGUCUAAUGAUCCGACUAUCGACCAACGGACCAAGUUACCCUGGGGAUAACAGCGCAAUCUACUCUGAGAGCCCCUAUCGACGAGCAGGCUUACGACCUCGAUGUUGGAUCAGGGUAUCCCAGUGGUGCAGCCGC